UUAAAGUCGAAAAUGUCAAAGUUCUCAGCAACGCGAUUGUUAUUCGAUGACUUUGGGAUGGGUAUGGUGCCCAAAUCAACCUAAAAUGCAUACAAAAAUCCAUUAAGGAGCGGCGCAAAAGUAGAAAUGUGUUUUGUGCGUCGCAUCUGGCGUGCACUUGUGGGCUUCCUGCGGAGGGCGCGCGUACGCUUCAGCAUAAACACAGUGGAUCGAGCAGAGUCACGCGAAUUGACGCAUCAAAACAACAUUCGCGCGUACGUCGCAGAGCAAAAGCGUUUGGCAAAGGAAAGGCAGGAUCAACUUUGAAUCGAAAUGAGCAAAUUUAUUGCCAGAAACUUCCAAAUGCGCAGCCCUCGAUUGAGUUUUCCCAGCUGCUCGAGCUCCAGCGGCGUGAGGCUGAAGUUAAAGAUAUCCAAAUUCUCGGCAAUGUGCAACUCCUGAGCGGCCUUUGGUAUGGGCAACGUG